rnacentral:lncRNA from 7 species
CUUUUUCCUUGCAGGAAGUCUUAACAGAAGAGUUUGUAGAAAGCAUGAUCCACUUGAGAACAUUUUCUCCUGCAGAUGUUGUCAUCCCAAGGCAUUUGGGGAAGAACAGAAGAGCCUAACAUUUUUGGCCUACAAAUUAGAACAAGCUGCUUGAAGUCUGAUCAUUUAAUAAGCCAUGUUAAGCCAUUUUUAGAUUUUGGCAUACAGUAUUGGGCUGAACUAUAAAUUUUCCUUUUCUUUUGAGCCACAUUUUUUGUCAGCAUAAGGCCACACGUGUCUGUAAAAGUCAUAAAUUCAAGUAUGGCUUGAUUAGAUUAGACUCCUAAUUAGAGGAGUCAAGAAAGAUAAAAUAAUAUGUAAACAGGGACAGGACACUUGCUCUUUAGUUCUAGAAAAUACUAGAAAUGCGUCAAAAUAUAUGAGUCCCAUUGCUCUCUGCACAUCAGUGUGAGAAAUCCAGAUCUCCAAAAUUCUCUGUGCUAACAGGCACUUGCUGUUUCUGAUUUGCAUAAAAUUUAUGUUUGAUAGACAAUUUCAAAACACAAAAGAUACUACUGUUGUUCAGUUUUUCCAUUCCAUAUUUAAAGGAGUUAGUUAGAUAUAAAAUCCAGUAUGAAACAGCAUUAAAACAGGACUUAGAACUUAUUUCCAGUGCUCCUUAAAAGUUGCAGCUGAGUUUGUUGAAUUCACUGAGGAGUAUGGUAUUACCUAAUAUGAGAAAGUGGAUGGAAGGGGGAGGCAGAAUCUAAACUAAAUAUCUGCCUUCAGAAAAAAGCAGUGGUAGGUAUAUAAUAUGCAGUUACCUUGUAUACAAUAAAGUAUAAUCUUUGGGAGAUAUACAUGACACAUCCACAGGAUUCUCUCCUGACAUCCCUUCAAGGAAGCUAUCCUUUUAUAUAUACAGCAUAGCUUCAGUGUUACUGUUGUAUUCAACCAGGCGGGUUCUCGCAUUCUAUGAGAAACCUGAUGGAUGCCUACAGCAGUUCCCUUCACAGGGUGAAAAUAAUUACCUGGCUGAUAUAUGUGCUUCUGUUGUGGUUACCAACACUUCAUUUUUCCGUGAAAUCAUAAUUGCUAUUUCCCAAAGCACUUUGAACCAAAUACCUAUCAUCAGCCAGAUAAUUAUAUUUGUUUCUGGAGAUUGCUAGGCUUCCAUGUCACUCACUAUAACUGCCAGCCCUGGUGGAAGAUCAGGGUCAUGAGAAAUCUAUGCAGGGAGGAAGAGCUGAAUUCGCUGUUUAACAAUAGUUCUUAACAGUUGGCUUUGGCUGUGUCCUGAAAUGUGCAGCCAAAUGCAGCUCCAAGAAAACUCUUUAUAAAGCUUCCCCUUUUUCAGACAGGUGGCAGCUGCAAUGCAAAGGCUUCUUUUUCAGCUGAGAAACAGACCACAUUGGGAGCAUAUAUUUAAAAAUUUUAGAUGUACUUUUUCUGGUUUUGCAGUUUCUGAAGCAACAGCUGCUUCAGCUGAGCUGCUGUGGUCAAAACUCUCAACAUCCUUCUCAUAAUAACAG